rnacentral:lncRNA from 1 species
CAGAACUUAAAUCUAGAAAAUUAAAAAUCAAUAUUGUUAUUAUACUGUUAUUUCUUUAUUCUAACUAAUAUUACAGUAAAAAAAGAGAAGGCAGGUAAAAAGUAGGUAUAUUAGUAUAUAACAAAAUAUCCUGUUCAAGAUCUUUUUUCAAACUUCAUUUGACUCUAUUUCAAAUGGUAGUUAAAUCAAAGUUCACGUAUUAACUUUUCAGAGAUCUACAAAACUUAGAGUCAUAUAAAAAAGAUUGCAGUCUCUGGGUAUGACUGAUUAAAAAAAGAAAAGAAAUUUAAGUUGGUUGGUGAAAUGAUAGAAAAACAGAAGAGAGACAGAGAGCAGGACACUUUGGAGAAAAUGAAAGGUUGCCCUUGGAUAGAAGAAAAAAGAUGAAGAGAUGUUAAUAAACACUCCACCCAACAGUGACACUAAAGGCAGUUUAGUACUUACUGAGAGAGAUUCUUGUCAAAAACAAGUUGGAAGAAAAUAGUUUGGAAAGACAGAGCAAAAUCAUACAGAGAACUAAAACAACAAAUAAAGGGAAACAAAAAACUAAAAGCCAAACUAGAAAAGUGUAAAAAACGCUUUCAGAGAGAGCGAUUGAAAACCACAAAUUUAACAUCACCUUCAUAUAACAAAAAGGUUCACCAUGAAAAGGUAUCUCUGUGUAAAAAAAACUUUUUUCCGCAAUCAAUAUGUCGUUGAAAAGCAGUAGAAAUCGUCAGUGAAAAGUACGAUACCAAAAAUUAAAGAGCCAAAUAAUGGCUAGCGUUAUCGGUUCGAAAGUAUUAAGGAAACACAGAGUGCAGAAAGAGAUCAACCAUAUUGUUUGUAUCAGGAGAACAAAAUAAUGUUGGAAGGAAAGAUAUAGUUUAAUCAUAAAAGUCAAGGAAGCUCUGGCGUUUUUUAAAUUUAAUUUGAAUGAUCAAGUGUCCAAAAUGUUGCCAGACAAAAAGAUUACAAGUAAGAAUGCAACGAGUGUUACUUGACACGUUAGCAAAUCUUCAUUUACAGUUUAAAGAACAAACUAAAAUGAAUGUGUUUUACACUACGUUCACCAGAUGUCGCCCAUUUUGGGUUUAGAAGCCGAAGUAAAAGGACAAGGAAACCUGUGCUUGCUUAAAACAUGAAAAUAUGGAGUUACUUGUGAGGGCUUUUUGCAAGGCCAAAUCAAUAGUUUAUAGAACUGCUCAUGAAUUGCUCAAAUCCAUAGUAUACUAAACAGCAAAUGAAAAUUGCUUGUUUGGAAGAAGUAAACAAUGGUUUUCAAUUAAGUUUAUAUCGAUAAAGAUGCACAAGAAGUGAUUAAACUAAGUUAAUGGAAAAAACGUUACAGAGAUGAAAAUGAUUAAAGGAAAAGAGAAAACAAUUAAGUGAUUUGUCAAUGGCGAAGUAAUCGAUAUGUUUCGAUAUGGAUGGAAGUUUACAUCUAAUAUAAAACAUACACACUCUUGGACCCAUAUCUAAUCUACUUUAACCAACCUCAAUGGUUUCCCUUAAUCUUAUGUUUGGUGUUAGUUACAUUAAUUUAAAAUUUGAUAUUACACAAGACUAAAACCAGUGAUAAUUUUAUAAAAUUGUUGAAACAAUACAAUUUGUAUUGGCAUAACAGAGCCAACCCGUGCUUAUGCAUGUUUAGAUAAUGUUUUUUUCUAAUGCCAACAACGAAAACUGCUUUUCCUAUGCUGACCCAUUCCAUUGCUCAUUCAACAAUUGUUUUCACCUAGUUGUUGAGAGCAGAGAGCCGAAAGAGACAGAUGUGACAAAGACCGAGUUCUAUUGAAUCUUUCAAAAUUACUUUCCUGUUAGAAAAGUCAAAACUGUGUAAAACUAUUAAAAAUAAGCCCUAGUAUAUUGACAAGCUUGCUAAUCUUAAGACUCAAUGUACAACAAAUCAGAAAUCACAGUAUGAUGUUUUAGAAAUCCACAAGGAGUGUUGCUGCCAAUAUCCGUAGAUGCCGUUGCAGGGAGGGAAGUCAUUGAAGCUGUGGGCAGGAUCAGAACUACCAAGCACUUCCGAAAUUUGCCAAAAGAACCUGCAGUCGACGGCUUAAGGCUUGUACCAACAAACACGUGCACCCGGGCCACAUCUAGCUGACAGAUGGCCUAGAUCAGUAAGGACUUGUAACCGCUGCUACUUUUGAUAUCGAUACUCAGUGUUACUGAGUACAAAUACUUGUUUAGGAAGUUGCAGUAUCACUGACGCCAUUGGUGCCUUAGUUGCCAACAUUUUUGAAGACAUGGGCUUUGCUUGGGUCACCUUGUGAUAUGUGGGGUACCUGAAGGCUCUGACUUUGGCCCUUAUUUGUUUUUAAUUUCAGUAAACGACUUGCCUUGUAGCAUUGAAACUGAUUCUUAUGCUAAAGACUCAACUUUUUUAAUGCAUGGUUUAGAUAUUAAUAUAUUAAAUUGAAAAGUGAAUAACACUUUUAAGUACUGUCUCAGAUCUGUUUGCAGUCAACUGUUCCUUUUUUAAAUAAUAAGAAGACUGAAAAUAACAUUAGACUUUUAACAUUAUUAAUUCAUUUAUUAUUCUAGUUUGAUCACUAUAUUACUUGUAAUACUUAUGCCCAGUCUCAGCUUGUGUAUAGAGAGCAUUAUUAUUGGACAAUAUACAACUAUGUAGUACAUAAAUUUGUCAAUGCAUUUAUUUAUACGUUAAAAUGACCAAUAAAUAUCUUGUGUCUUUAAGUUGAUGGUAAAUCCGAAUAAAAUUAACUUUAUACAAAACCAAAAAUAAUGUUCCUUGUUAAAUAAUAAGAAGACUGAAAAUAACAUUAGACUUUUAACAUUAUUAAUUCAUUUAUUAUUCUAGUUUGAUCACUAUAUUACUUGUAAUACUUAUGCCCAGUCUCAGCUUGUGUAUAGAGAGCAUUAUUAUUGGACAAUAUACAACUAUGUAGUACAUAAAUUUGUCAAUGCAUUUAUUUAUACGUUAAAAUGACCAAUAAAUAUCUUGUGUCUUUAAGUUGAUGGUAAAUUCGAAUAAAAUUAAUUUUAUACAAAACCAAAAAUUAUUGGUUUUUGUAAAUGUAUUUUGUGUAUGUAUCAUUAGUUUAGGUCAUGAAUAAUAAUCACAUUAUAUACUUCACUUAAGACUUCUGUGAUAAAAACUAAUACUUAUUCUAAGCUUGUGUUGAUUAUUAUUAAUAAUGGUGAUUUAAAAAGAAGGCUGUGAUAUGAAGACUGAAGUAGAAAUGAAUUUAAAUUCACUUUAGUAUUGCUUGACAAAAUAUGAGUAGCAUGACUCUACACUAGUAUUCUUUAAUGGAAUACAUAUUUUGGAUAUAACGUAUUGGAAGUUAAGUUAAAUCCACAAGACCUUUUCAAUUACAAAAUAUUACUUUAUUUAAACCUAAUUAAAUGUAAAACACAAUGUUUUUACUUUUACAAGAUACUUUAUACAAACUAUAAUUAAAUAUGAAUUUUGAGCUGAGCAGUGUUUUUAUGCAAUAUGUUAUGUAAAUACAGAGUAUUUAACCGUGUAAGAUUUUAUAUUAAACAUUUUUUGUUGAAGAGAA